rnacentral:rRNA from 1 species
CCUACGGGAGGCAGCAGUGAGGAAUAUUGGUCAAUGGCCGCAGGGCUGAACCAGCCAAGUCGCGUGAGGGAUGACGGUCCUAUGGAUUGUAAACCUCUUUUGUCAGGGAGCAAAGGGCGCCACGUGUGGCGCUUUGCGAGUACCUGAAGAAAAGGCAUCGGCUAACUCCGUGCCAGCAGCCGCGGUAAUACGGAGGAUGCGAGCGUUAUCCGGAUUUAUUGGGUUUAAAGGGUGCGCAGGCGGAAUGUCAAGUCAGCGGUAAAAUUUCGGGGCUCAACCCCGUCGUGCCGUUGAAACUGGCGUUCUUGAGUGAGCGAGAAGUAUGCGGAAUGCGUGGUGUAGCGGUGAAAUGCAUAGAUAUCACGCAGAACUCCGAUUGCGAAGGCAGCAUACCGGCGCUCAACUGACGCUCAUGCACGAAAGCGUGGGUAUCGAACAGGAUUAGAUACCCCAGUAGUC